UACGUAGGGAGCAAGCGUUGUCCGGAUUUAUUGGGCGUAAAGAGCUCGUAGGUGGCUUAGCAAGUCAGAUGUGAAAACUCCAGGCUCAACCUGGAGACGCCAUUUGAUACUGCUAUGGCUUGAGUUCGGUAGGGGAGCACGGAAUUCCUGGUGUAGCGGUGAAAUGCGCAGAUAUCAGGAGGAACACCGAUGGCGAAGGCAGUGCUCUGGGCCGAAACUGACGCUGAGGAGCGAAAGCGUGGGUAGCAAACAGGAUUAGAAACCCCAGUAGUCC
rnacentral:rRNA from 1 species